rnacentral:rRNA from 1 species
CCACCCGGUAUGCCUUAGUAGCGGCGAGUGAAGCGGCAAAAGCUCAAAUUUGAAAUCUGGCACUUUCAGUGUCCGAGUUGUAAUUUGAAGAAGGUAUCUUUGGGUCUGGCUCUUGUCUAUGUUUCUUGGAACAGAACGUCACAGAGGGUGAGAAUCCCGUGCGAUGAGAUGUCCCAGACCUAUGUAAAGUUCCUUCGAAGAGUCGAGUUGUUUGGGAAUGCAGCUCUAAGUGGGUGGUAAAUUCCAUCUAAAGCUAAAUAUUGGCGAGAGACCGAUAGCGAACAAGUACAGUGAUGGAAAGAUGAAAAGAACUUUGAAAAGAGAGUGAAAAAGUACGUGAAAUUGUUGAAAGGGAAGGGCUUGAGAUCAGACUUGGUAUUUUGUAUGUUACUCUCUCGGGGGUGGCCUCUACAGUUUACCGGGCCAGCAUCAGUUUGAGCGGUAGGAUAAGUGCAAAGAAAUGUGGCACUGCUUCGGUAGUGUGUUAUAGUCUUUGUCGAUACUGCCAGCUUAGACUGAGGACUGCGGCUUCGGCCUAGGAUGUUGGCAUAAUGAUCUUAAGUCGCCCGUCUUGAAACACGGAAACAAAAAAAA